AACACUAUAAAGUUGUACCAACGAGAUUGCACAUACCAUUGAGCCCAAUGCAUUGAUAAAUAAACACGUGUAGUACACCCGUCCACUAGAUGUUUCUCCAUUUUCAUUGCUUUGCUUUGGUUCUUUCGUUGGUUUUUUCAUAUUUCUCGUUUUCUUCCUUUUCUCCUCAAUUUUCCACUCUCCCCGUUCUCUCUCUUUUUGGUUCUUACUUCACUGCACUGAUGAAGUAUUACAUAUAGUUAAUUUUGUUUUAUUUAGUUUUUCAUUCAAACCUAUAUUUUAAGUGAAUUUAGCUGUUGAAACUAUAGAGGCAUCAGAAAAGGUGUCUCCUCCUUCUUUUCUUAUAUGCGUGUUUUAUCUGGUCUACUGUAUGUAUGUAGUUUUGGGGUUAAACUUUUUUCUCCUGAAAUUAUAGGUCUCCAGAUGGAAAUUAAUAAAUCUGCUAUCAUAAUAAAAAAAAAACAAAUUAUUGAGAAACAACAAAUGCAAUUCAGAAGUUGAUAUUCAAGCUGGAAAACAAAGUGUGCUUGCAUUUUUGAUCCUUUAUUAACUUCCGAGGAAGUAAAGCUUACCAGAAAUUUUGUAUAGACGGUAUUGCGACAGAUUCAAAGAUAAUAUAGAAAAGCUCUACAUGGUACUACAUGGGAGUCGAUCUUAUUUUUGAGAAAGGAAAAAGUUAAUAGAGAUGUUGGAGCUUAGAUGUCGCCCUUAACAGUGUUGGCUUCUUUCAAGAAAGGAAAAAGUUCACCACAGAGGUGCGCAGUGAUGAGACCAUUAGAGUUAGCAAAUUCUUUUUGGAGCACCUUAUUCAAAUUACUGGAAUUCUCAGUUGAUCAAUAACGAAAUCAAAAAGCUGGUAGGAAAGGACAAAAAGUACAUGGAGAGAAUACAUUUUCUUUCUAAAGAUGAGCAACUUUGAGUACCUAUUCUCUUCCACCAACUGAAAGUCCAUUAAACUACCGAAUUUUCCCCAGUCGUCAGUAACAGCCAGGUGUUAUUUACUUUGAUGAAUGGCAUACUAUUGUGAAAUAAAUAUGUUGGUAUGUUACUAUUUUAAAGCGAAUAUAAUGAGGCAAGUUAUCUUUUGAAUUUGUCUUUAGAUUCAUCAGACAUCUCUAAUUAGUUUCC